GACUAGCCCUGAUUGAAGUGGAAAUCCUUUUUAUUUUUUCUUUAAAAAUAAAAAGAUUGCAGCGCAAAGCGGGACGGAUU
rnacentral:sRNA from 1 species